rnacentral:rRNA from 1 species
UACGGGGGGGGCAAGCGUUGUUCGGAAUUACUGGGCGUAAAGGGCUCGUAGGUGGCCAACUAAGUCAGACGUGAAAUCCCUCGGCUUAACCGGGGAACUGCAUCUGAUACUGGAUGGCUUGAGUUUGGGAGAGGGAUGCGGAAUUCCAGGUGUAGCGGUGAAAUGCGUAGAUAUCUGGAGGAACACCGGUGGCGAAGGCGGCAUCCUGGACCAAUAUUGACGCUGAGGAGCGAAAGCCAGGGGAGCAAACGGG